AGGUUGAUAGGAAAUGAUGACAAUAUAGAGGACAUCAAACAAGGGGAAGAUAUUUUGGCUUUUUAUUUGAUACUCCAGGAAGAUCUGAUGUCAUAUCCCUAAAAGGACAAAUCAGACCAAAGUGAGGCUCCAAGACGACUGGGCUUUUUGGACAUAAUCUUAUCAACACACGAUCUGGGGAAAAAUUACUCACACCCUGAAAACCUUAGUUUUCUCAUGUGUUAAAUAGGGACAAUCAAAUACCAAUUUCUGAAGACUGUUCUAAUAAUUAAAUGAGACAUUCCUUAUAAAACACUUAGCAGAACACCUGGCAAAUUAACAUGGAGUAGCUGGUUACAGACCAAACCUUCCCUUGAGAAUGUGACAUGCUGGACAAUAUAUAAAGCCAUCAAUCUGAAGGCAAUGGGGAAUUCUGAAGCCACAAGGUCCUCAAACUUACUGUGGAUCUAAGGUCACCACCACUUCAUCCAUAGAUCCACAGACUGCCUCAGCUCUGCCCAGACUAUUCCAAGACAGGCUGCAUCCAAGCAGUGAGCUGCGUCUCUUUGUGAAGCUGUGGUCAUCUGCAAUAUUGUACUAGUUUGUAUUUGCCCUUCCUUCUUUUCUGCCCAACUUUCUUUUCCCUUUACUUUGGUGUCUCAGAGUUAUACCUCCCAUUUUUUUCUAGGGAACUUAGGCUAAGACAGAAUGAAAGUACAGAGAAGUGAGCCCAAUUUAGCUCUGUAGACAUUUGUCUAUGUGUAAGCAGAAAGCAAGAGGCUGAGAUGCUGAGCAGAGUUUCCAACAGUCUUACAGUGUUGGUAAGAAAAAAAGGGACUUAAGGACCAAGGAGGAGAGGCCCAGGCAAACACUCCAGUUCUAGCUUGUAACUCCAGAAGGGACAGACAUUACCUCAAAAAUAAUGAAGCUGGAAUUAAAUCAACUAAAUCUUUGAUGGAAUGAAAAUUAAUCUGUCUCUUAUCCAACUUCCAAACAAAAAUAAAUUCUCUCUGGAAGAUG